AGAACGAACGCUGGCGGCAUGCCUAACACAUGCAAGUCGAACGCCUGUAGCAAUACAGGAGUGGCGCACGGGUGAGUAACGCGUGGGAACCUACCCUGGAGUGGGGGAUAACCGAGGGAAACUUCGGCUAAUACCUCAUACGACCUGAGGGUGAAAGAUUUAUCGCUCUAGGAGGGGCCCGCGUCGGAUUAGCUAGUUGGUGAGGUAACGGCCCACCAAGGCGAUGAUCCGUAGCUGGUCUGAGAGGAUGAUCAGCCACACUGGGACUGAGACACGGCCCAGACUCCUACGGGAGGCAGCAGUGGGGAAUAUUGGACAAUGGGGGCAACCCUGAUCCAGCAAUGCCGCGUGAGUGAUGAAGGCCUUAGGGUUGUAAAGCUCUUUCGGCGGGACGAUGAUGACGGUACCGCAGAAGAAGCCCGGCUAACUUCGUGCCAGCAGCCGC
rnacentral:rRNA from 1 species